CUGCGGAAGGAUCAUUACUGUGAUUUAGUACUACACUGCGUGAGCGGAACGAAAACAACAACACCUAAAAUGUGGAAUAUAGCAUAUAGUCGACAAGAGAAAUCUACGAAAAACAAACAAAACUUUCAACAACGGAUCUCUUGGUUCUCGCAUCGAUGAAGAGCGCAGCGAAAUGCGAUACCUAGUGUGAAUUGCAGCCAUCGUGAAUCAUCGAGUUCUUGAACGCACAUUGCGCCCCUCGGCAUUCCGGGGGGCAUGCCUGUUUGAGCGUCGUUUCCAUCUUGCGCGUGCGCAGAGUUGGGGGAGCGGAGCGGACGACGUGUAAAGAGCGUCGGAGCUGCGACUCGCCUGAAAGGGAGCGAAGCUGGCCGAGCGAACUAGACUUUUUUUCAGGGACGCUUGGCGGCCGAGAGCGAGUGUUGCGAGACAACAAAAAGCUCGACCUCAAAUCAGGUAGGAAUACCCGCUGAACUUAAGCAUAUCU
rnacentral:rRNA from 1 species